UACGAAGGGGGCUAGCGUUGCUCGGAAUGACUGGGCGUAAAGGGCGCGUAGGCGGACGGCUUUGUCGGGCGUGAAAUUCCAGGGCUUAACCUUGGGGCUGCGUUCGAGACGGGUUGUCUAGAGUUUGGAAGAGGGUCGUGGAAUUCCCAGUGUAGAGGUGAAAUUCGUAGAUAUUGGGAAGAACACCGGUGGCGAAGGCGGCGACCUGGUCCUUGAACUGACGCUGAGGCGCGAAAGCGUGGGGAGCAAACAGGA
rnacentral:rRNA from 1 species